GGGGUCACCCCGCAACAGUGGAUGGAAAAGUGCAAGGCACGUGGAUCCAGAUGAAGGAACUGACCAUCUCUGAGAUAUCUCCUCUGGCUGGAGAGGCAGUUCAACAGGAGGUUGAAGAGACAGAUUAAUUCUUCAGGUCCAAGAAUCAGAACUGCCUCCAUCAUAAUGGAGCUAGCUGAAACCUCCCUGAGCUUCUUGAGUACUCUUGGUUCAAUAGAAUUGGAAGAGGGUCUUUGCCACCAGUUUGGUGAUGACAGACAUCUGAGGGAAUGUGCAAUGUCGUAUCCAGGUGAUGCUUGCUUGGCUGACAUACAGGCUUCAACAAUCCUUGCACAGGAUGAAGGUGAACUCUGGCAGGAAACCAAGGGCCCUAGAAGUCUGAGACAAGUUCUUAUCGAUAUCUUGGGAUGAACUUGUAGGUGGGUGGACAGAACCAUGGCUUGGAAUCUUUCUUGAGGCAGACAGGCCAUUGCCAUUGUAGAGAUCAACACCACCCCUAUAAACAAUACGCUUUGAGCUGGAGUUCGUAUUGAU